CUCAGGUUGAUAAGGACAGAGUUUUGCUCACUUCAUUUUGUAUUUCAAGAAAACCUAGAGAGGUGUUGUCUUUUAAAAAUGUUUUAAGUAAUAUGAACAGGUUUGUAAGGUUUAAUCACCUAAUAAAAAGCACUGUAUAAUCAAAAUCUCUUAUGUACACAGGUAGAAAUUAGCACAUGUGUUUUGUAGAAUACACAUGUACUAGGCUGUUAAUUUUUAUUUUGGUAAUAAUUUCUAUAGUCAUUUCUGUUUUGACUUUUUUGCUUUUCCCCUUUAACCUCUUUUUGGUUUUUCUUUUACUUUUUGCAGUACUGGGGAUUGAACCCAGGGCCUUGCAUAUGCUAGGCAAGCACUCAACCACUGAGUCAAAAACCACUGUUUUUGACCACCUAGUGCAUAUAUAUGUAUAUGUGUGUUUGUGUAUUAUAUGGUAUUAUAUAUAGACAUGUGCGCGCACACACACAUAAAUAUUUUGUACUUCUGGACUGGGAUAUGGCUCAGUGGUACAGUACAUAUCUAGAAUGCUGAAGGCCCUGUGUUCAAUCUCUAGCAUUACAAAAAUAAAACAAAACAAAAUGUUAUAUACUUUUCCCACACUUCUUUAUUUUUUUGUUGUUUUUGGUACCAGGGAUUGAAUCCAGAGGUCUUAACCACUGAGCCA
rnacentral:lncRNA from 1 species